AGGACAGCAGACUGGGAUCCAGGUCUGCCUGCCCAGGAAAGUUUCCAAGUGACCACCUGGAUAGCUUACCAGUCAGCUGGAGGAGGGCUAUGAGCCCGGGGCAGGUUCUGGGAAGAAGUAAAACUACCCACAGCUUAUUCCUUCUUUUCCACAGCUGGCACUGAGAGCUGAAAGGUCCUUUUGUCCCCUGCAGCUGCCAGUUGUCUGUGUCUGCCUGAGGCUCAUAGAGCUUUGGCCCAUGUAAGGUGUGCAAGACUCCACUGUGUUCUUUUGAGUGGGUGACAGAUCAGCCAACAGUUACUUACAGAGGAAGCCACAUGAGAGAGUGAGAAAGAGUUUGAGUUAGAAAUUCUCCCCAGCAGAACCAAGUACAGGAACUGUGAUGAGUGUCCUACUGCCCAGCCCAUUCCCACUCCCCUCCUUCCUCCUGCAUCUUUCACCCUUCCACCUGCUUCUGCCUCCAUCUCUUUCUUGUGCUCAUCUUCACUGCCCCGGCUCUCUAUCCACCUGCCUGGCUGACUGUCCCUUCAUGGGGCUUUACAAACCCUUAUUUCUUUCACUGGGGGGAUCCCUGCUGCUGUUUGAUCAGAUAGGGGUGCACACUUGAUGAGGAAAAUAAUACAAUAUUUAAUAUGAUCUUUUAUUGCAUUAAGAGUUUUCAUUAUCUCUAGUCUCUCCAAAGUUCAGAAAAAGUGGAAAAACUUGGGAAUUCAGGAAAAAAUAAUAAGCUAAAUUAUAUUAAUGGACAGGAAAGAGUAGGGUUGAGGUUAUUCCCAUCCCUUUUCUUAGCAUGUGCCACAGCCAUCAAUCAGCUUGAAAUGCCUAUGAGGUACUUACUGGCCAGCCAGUGAGAUCUGCAUUGCAUCUUGGGCCAACAGCAGAUGUGAAUCUCGAUGAUAGUGUUUCAGUAACUUCUGUCAAAUUAUUGGUAAAUGUCAUUCACAGAUGGAAGAAGUCUUCUUGGCCCGUAUGAAACCAGAGCGCUGUUGCUUCCUAGCAAAUGGAGACCAGGUGUACAUACAAUGCUGCCAAAGGAACUCUCACUGCAAUGGCAAGCGCAUGCAAUCCCGCCGCACUGGGUAAGUGCCCAUCUCCAGAGUCCAGGGGAGCAGAUCAAAUACCGGGCUGCCAGGGAGGACGUUUCCGCAGGGGUUACUCUUUAUUGCAGUUGGAGCUGGAGACUCAGGUGUAGAUAAUGAGGGUGGUGCUGCGAGGACACCCUCCCUGUAAAGACACGGGGCGAAUGCGAGGAGGAGGCGGAGCCGCGCCAAUGAGCGCGGAGCGAAGGGCGGGCGCAGAGGCUUCGUGGGCGGGG
rnacentral:lncRNA from 1 species